AUAUUAAGAAUGGAAGCCAUCUUCAAGCUCUCAUCAAAAGCUUCCAUCUCCGCCCAAUCCGCACUCAUCAUCUUUUCUUUAAAACCACUGCUGCCCCCGAUAACAAAACCUUUCGAAUCUCUAGCUAUGACACCAAACCCCACUCUUCCAUUCAGGACCGCAGCGUCGAAGUUGAUCUUUAUAUAACCAUAAGGGGGCUUCAUUCAAGUUUUGCUCACCGGGGUCGGAGGGAUCACAGGUCUUUCAUUCAGUUCCAGAGGAGAAUAAAAAAGUCCGCUGCAGCCUUAACGUCCAACUCUCUAAGGACAUCUUCCAACCAGUCAAUGCACCGGUCAUAGCUCCCUUCGAUCAGCCGAUUAUUAAGUCCCCCGAAAGUUAGAAUUUCAUGAGCCAAAGGGCAGUCUUUCAGUGCAUGAAUCAGCGUCUCCUCUCUGUUCUUGCACCUAGGGCAGAUUUUAGAACAGUUCUAACGAAUCCGAGAGAUGUUAUCAUAAGUUGGAAGAAUAUUAUGACCGACCCUCCAGCUGAAAACCCGAAUCUUAGGAAGCAUUUUUUAGUUUCCAAAUGGUUCUCCAAAAUGCUCUGUGAGGACCAAACCCUAUCUUCUUGAGGGAAAGCCAAGAAUAAGCCGACUUGAACUGUAAAAACCAUGAGGAUUAUGACACCACACCCUUCUGUCAGUAACACCAUUGUGCAAAUGGGUAAAUUACAGAUUUGAUCCCCCAGUAAAUUACCAUAAAGUUCGAUCACCUCAUCUCUAUUCCAAUUCAUGCGGUCGUGGUCCCACAGGUCUUGCGCUUUUCUUUCAUUGUUGGUCAACAAAGACUGACAAAUAGAAUCACCAUUAAGGCUUUCAAAACCCCAAUUGUCCCUUCGAAUAUCAAUUGUUUUUCCGUCCCCGACAAGCCAAACAAAACCCUCUUGAAGAGCUUCGGCGGCCUUAGCUAUACUGGACCAAGUGUACGAGGGGGUGUCACAAUCUUUUGGCCGAAAAACGUCCCCAUCAGGAAAGUUCUUGGCACUAGGCACCUUGAAGCAUAAAGUAUCUUUAAAAUGCAUUAGUCUCCACACCUGUCUACCAAGAAGGGCCAAGUUGAAAAGGUGCAAGUCCCGGAAACCAAGACCCCCCAUACCUUGCGGGUGGCACAUUCUAUCCCACGCCAUCAUGGCCCACCCCACGGUUCUUCUCGUUACUCGUCCACCACAUGAGACUCAUCUUCGAUUGUAGCUUUUCAAUGAUUCCUUUAGGCGCAAGGAAGACAGAAAAAGCAUAUGUCGGAAUAGAUUGGAGAAUGGCUUUAAUGAAGAUCUCUUUCCCACCGUAUGAAAUGAGUCUUUUCGACCAACUCUUUAUCCUACAGAACAACGGUUCAUAAUAUUAGUAAAA